rnacentral:lncRNA from 1 species
GGAGGAGCAGUGCCUGUGUGAUGAGAUGGCUUGGGCAAAGAAGCAGGGCCAUGAGGAGUGUGGGCGAUGGGCUGGAUUGAGAAGGCAUGGGCAGAGGUGCUGGGUGUGAGCAAGGUGAAUGAAGCUGUUGCUGACCUGGGAAGAAGGCGGGUUGUCCAGAGCUCAAGUGCAGCACCUGGUUGCUGUUGGCAAUGCAGAAAUAGAUCCCCUGGUCCCGUGCCCUGAAGUUCUUCACCACCAGCCGAUAGGAGCUGCCUUGUUUUGACCCCUCAAAUUGUGAAGAUGCUCCCUUGUUCCCUGGGAAAGUGGUCCAGGAAUACUUGGAAAUGUAGACAAUGAAGUGAAGGUUCUCAUCCUUAUCGAGGCGGA